rnacentral:rRNA from 1 species
GCUCAGAUUGAACGCUGGCGGCAGGCCUAACACAUGCAAGUCGAACGGUAACAGGAAGCAGCUUGCUGCUUCGCUGACGAGUGGCGGACGGGUGAGUAAUGUCUGGGAAACUGCCUGAUGGAGGGGGAUAACUACUGGAAACGGUAGCUAAUACCGCAUAACGUCGCAAGACCAAAGAGGGGGACCUUCGGGCCUCUUGCCAUCGGAUGUGCCCAGAUGGGAUUAGCUUGUUGGUGGGGUAACGGCUCACCAAGGCGACGAUCCCUAGCUGGUCUGAGAGGAUGACCAGCCACACUGGAACUGAGACACGGUCCAGACUCCUACGGGAGGCAGCAGUA